rnacentral:lncRNA from 1 species
AUGGCGGCGGCGAGCCCGCCGGCCGAGGCGAAGGGCGACCGCCUGAUGGCUCAGGCGCGGCGGGAGCUCACGGGGUUCUGGUCCUGCCUGUUGCCCGCCAGCGCCACCUACUCGUACGCCGCCGGCUUCUUCGAGGAGGCCGCCAAAGCCUAUCGUCUCGCCAAGAAUUGGAGAAAAGCCGCGUUGGCACAUCACGAAUAUGGCACGUACUGUAUAAAGAUGGGUCGAGAUUGUAGGCUGGCAGCUGCGGUGGUGCUAUGGGAAUCGGCGGAAUGCCACAUGCGGGAUUUCGACCCGGACGACGAGCAAACCGCACGCGCCAUCGAGAGCGACCUGAAGAGGUCGGUGCGCAUGCUCGUCCUGGAGAACCAGCCGCAGCUGGCGGCGUCCGCCUGCGAGGAGCUAGCCCGGAUGUACGUGGCGCGGAGGCGAGGGAGUGGUACGAGCGAGCCGCGGGGUACUGCAUCCAGCUCUGCAGGCCCAGGGCUCUACAGGAAGCCGUCUCCGCCGCCGUCAGAGGAGCAGUAGCAGUAAUGUU